GGGAAUGGACGAGAUUGACCUUGCCGAGAUGGAGCUUCGCCGAGGCCAGAUCCUCUGGGUCCGUGGCCUGAACCGGAUUCAGACUCAGGUACUCUGUGGUGGCCUGUCCUUACCCUGGGAGAAGAAGUCUCCCCAUCCUGGGAAAGGGUAGGAAGGCAGUAAUUCCUGGCAGUCAACACCUUUACCCCUUUCGUAAGGCUCACUGUUCAAGCGCAGCCUGUGUUCCUUAACUUCAGGGCCAACAGGGCCAGAGGUCUCUGGGGGAUUCCUCUAGGAGGGACUAGUCGGCAGACUGGACCAUGGGCCAACAGACUGGACCACGGUCCCCGAGUUCCUCAGCUGUGGUUAGCCCUUCAACCCAUCGCCACCCCCACCCCAGGUUUGUCAGUGGAGAUGUCUUCCCACAUAAGGUCUAUUCCAGUACCAGCCACGACCCCAAGAUAGGGACUGUGUAGUCCCUUCCCUGCCCUGAUGGAAGAACUAAGAGGCCCUGAUUUUAUAACACUGGAAGGAAAGCCAGCAUCCCUGACUGGUCGAAGUGAGAGCUGUUAUCUGGGGAGGUCUUUGUUAAAGAAGCUCACCUUCUUCCAUUGUUCCACCUUGAUGCAAGGCCUCUCUGGGGCAUCUGAUGAUUAAGUAGCUAUAAACAGCAGUCUCUCUGUGCCUGAUAUCUUUGGAAGAAUUCAGACUGGCUUCCCAAAAAGGGAAUUUCUGAAACAGAGUACAAGUGAGUCCCCUGCUUGUAGCCCUAACCCCAUUUCCCCCGACUUCCAUGCAUCGCUACUGGGACAGCUUCGGAGACCCCUCAACCUUUUAUGGUUUUAGUCCCAAGAUUCCCAAACAAACCGUCAAUUCCAAGAUCUUGAGGGGACUGUCCUGAGCAAGACCUGUUUCUUCCCCCUAGUUGGCGAGAGAUCAAAAUAUUUCACUUUCAAAAACUGGCCUUUGGCUGGUUUAGAAAAUUGCCUGGCCAGCCUCCCCCUCCCCCAUCCCCUUUAGUGUACAGGGAAGACAAGCUAAUUCACAUUUUAAACUGCUUACCUGGUAGGAACUGCCUCCCACCCACCCCCAACCCCCCAGGAAGACACCAGGUAGAAAAUGGGCAAGAUACAGGUCGUAAACCCUGGGCUCCUCUCCUCUUUUUCCUAGGAAGGGAACUGAAUCCUGACUUACAUAUAUCACCUCAUGAUAGCAAGUCCCCACCUCUGCCCACCCCCACCCCCACCCCCACUGAGUCCCUUGGGUGCCCGUAGAAUUUAGCACCUUGACUUCCAUCUCUUCAGGUCUGCUCCUUUCAAAAUAACCUCUUUGCUUUUCUUCCCUUCAGGGUCCUCUUCUACUGUGUGUUUGCUUUUUUUUUUUUUUUAAUAUUUAUUUAUUUAUUUUGGUUUUGUCCCUGUUUUUUUCCUGGCCAGGAUCCCCUCCUUCCAGAGCCUCCUUGCUUCUUGCCAGUCUUCUUUCUGGGGAGCUGAGAUUCAUGGCUCUUCCUUUUCCUGCACUCCCAGUUUGCAUCCCCUUUCCGUACCUCUCCGAUCUCCACAGCACACAUACCUUCAGGCAUACCUCUUUCCCUGCUAGAAUGGAAGGGAGCUGGGCCAGAUUGACUUUAAAACCUAAAUCUGAGGCCAACCAUGUGGUGCACAUCUAACAAUCUUCAGGAGGCUGAGGUGGGAAGAUUCCUAGUUAGGCCAGUCUGGGCUGUGUAGCUAGACCCUACCUC
rnacentral:lncRNA from 1 species